rnacentral:rRNA from 1 species
AGAAUCAACGCUGGCGGCGUGCCUAACACAUGCAAGUCGAACGCGAAGUCCGCAAGGGGCAAGUAGAGUGGCAAACGGGUGAGUAACACGUGGGUGACCUGCCUUCGAGUGGGGGAUAACGUCCCGAAAGGGACGCUAAUACCGCAUAACAUCCUGCUUUUGAACAGGUGGACAUCAAAGCUGGGGACCGCAAGGCCUAGCGCUUGAAGAGGGGCCCGCGCCUGAUUAGCUAGUUGGUGGGGUAAUGGCUCACCAAGGCAACGAUCAGUA